rfam:Sphaerobacter thermophilus DSM 20745 chromosome 1, complete sequence.
GGGGAUGUCUGGUUUCGACAGGGCCGUAGGCGCGAAGAUUGCAAGCCGAGGUCGCCCCGGGACUCGUAAAAAGGGGCAAAGCCAUAAACGGCAACGAGUCUUACGCUCUCGCCGCUUAAUAACUAGCGGCGACGUCCACCCUGACCCCACCCCGGCGGGUUGGGAGUGGGCGCCACAAGGCCGGGGUGCUGCUGGUCCGAGCGUCGGAUAGGAUCAGCAUAAGACCAUCCGACUACCGCGACGAAACCCUGUCGGUGGGGGUUCGGCGCGGGAUCCAAAACACCGACUAAGCUUGUAGUAGAUCUUCGGCUGAAGGUUCUGGACGGGGGUUCGAUUCCCCCCAUCUCCACCG